GAUCACUUGCAUAUUUAAUUACUCAUAUAAAAUUCAAUGAAUAAUGGGCAUAUUGAAUAAUUAAAAGAGAAAUACAUACAUGUAAAAAAGAAAAGAAAAUGGUACAUAUAAACUUUGAACUUCCAACAUUCAUGAUUAACUUUAUUAAUUUAUAGAAAUAGUAAGAAAUAACAACAUGAAAAAAUUAAUUAAGAGAUGGGAUAUACAUAUCAUUAAGGUUAUAUAUUUAUUGAAAAAAAUGGAGGUACACAAUUGUGUAAAUUUUAAAUAUACACAGUCACUGACCGAUACUAAAGUAGUCACUCUACUACUGUAAAAACGUAGAAUGAAUUCUCAUAGUAGAGUGACUACUCUACGUACAUUGACUUAACUCUACGAUCGUAGAGCGUGUACAUUUGAAAGUUUGCACAACUGUAUAACUCCAUUAACCCAAUAUAUGUACGUAUGUAUGUAAAUAUACAACGUAUACUUAAUAUUGUCAAAAUAGAGGCCUCUAGACUAGAUAUAUCACGACAAUCAAUGAGCAUUUACAAUAAUAGUACUAAAUGUAGAACCAAAAAAGGAUCAUAUAUAUAUUUUGUAUAUAAUAGGGAUAAAUAAUUAAUUAUGGAGUAAAGCCUUAAAGCCUGCAAAAAAUAUUAAUGUAUUAAUUUCUAAGGUUUAUGUCCUUACAAUUAUGUAUACCGGCCCGAAACUGAAUGUUAAUAUAUAUUAGAUGAUAAAAGUACUAGUACAAGUGGUUGGUGGUGAAUAAAGGUUGGUGGAAUCCAGUGGUUAGGUAGCAUUCGAGGUCAGAAUUAGGAACAAAACAAAGAGUGAAAUUAUUAGUAGAAUGUGUGUAUAUAAAACAAUAAACUAUUACAACCGAAAACAAUGGAGUAGAAUAGAACAUACAUGGAAGUUAGUAGCCUGGAAAUGGAGUUAUAAUUAAUAAAUAAAAGGAGAAGAUAUGCAGAGAAAGAGAGAGAGAGAGGGGUGAUGAGAAUGUAGUGGAACGUUAGUACGUUGUACAUUAAGAAAAUCAGAUGAUGACUAUAUGUAUGUAUAUAGAGAAUCAAGAAAGAGAGAUGCAGUGAGGUGAGCAGAUCCUCUGUCCUCAAAUUUUGUGUUCCUCCACUUAAAUAUUGACAUAUAAUCUCUUAUUUAACAUUAAUUAAUUUUAAAAUUAAAUAAAAGGACAUGUGUUAAGAUUUAAAUGAAGGGACACAAGAGGGACAAGGAAUUUAUAUCUAUCGAGUAGCAGCAGCAGUUGUACUGACAUGUACAAACAAAAAGAAAACACAAUGAUCGAUGACCUGAGGAUGAGCUAGCAAAUUUAUAUAUAUAUAUAUAUAUAUAUAUAUAUAUAUAAAUAUAUAUAUGCGAGGAAAAAAGAUCUGAUAAAUGAAAUGAAAUAAAAUAAAAUGAUGACCAGGAAUAGGAAUAAAAGGGUCCUCGAGCCAGACAACAUUCCCCUCAAAAAAACCCAUGCUAGCUAGCUCCUCCAGCACCCUCUACCUUCCUAAUUCCAUUUCUUUAACAUCGAUCAUCUGUCCAUGGAUCUCUAUCCCUUCUCUACUUUGUAUGAUACACACACACACACACACACUCUCUCUCUUCAAGAGUCGCCCAGUGAUGUAUAUAUCUCUAGCUGACCCUCUUC
rnacentral:lncRNA from 1 species